UUGCCCAAUUUAAAAUGAAAUUUAUAUAAUAUUGUAUGAAUCAGGGACCUUGGUCUGUUAGGCAUACUGAGGUAUCCCAAAUGUGUAGCACAGUGGCUGGAACAUGGAAGAUGUUCAAUUAAUAUUUGUUGAAUAGAUGAAUCGAGGUACUGUGACCUCAAAAUGAGAAAGUUGAAGAUUUAAUAAAAUUGUUUUUAUUUUAGUUUUGUUUUUACCAGGGUAAGACCUGAUAAAAUGAGUUCUGGUAUUAUUAUUGCUAUUUUAUAAAUGGCUGUCCCUUCUCCUGUCUUUCGCAGGGCUUCUUCAUUUUGGUGUUCGGAACACUCCUGGAUCCAAAGAUAAGAGAAGCCUUAAAGAGUCGAGUAACCUCUGCAAAAUGGAUCUCCAGAAUAUCAGAGAACCUUUCUUCCGAUCUCUCUUGUCACCCCACCAAAGGGCCAGGGUAACAAGCAGGCUGUACUCCUGACUUGGGCGGUCAUGCGUUCCAGGAAUGGCAGUGAGUCCCCAGGAGAGAUGUGCAUAGUCCUGUCUUCUGGCCUCUGGGGGUCUGUAGGGAGCCCUCUGAGCUGUGGUGCUGCUGGAGCAGGGCCUCAAGUGUGGGGACGAUGGAAGGCCCUCUGUCUGAGCUGAUCUGUGAUGCUGACCAUUUCUCCCCCAGUCAACCCUACACAUAUAUGUAGACAGAUUUAUGCCACGCCAGGCACCCGCAGAGAACAGACAGACACAGUGGGCCGCAGGAGGGCCUCGGUCUCGAGGGCCUUCAGCUCCGGCUGCUGGGUCACACGUAUCCUCAGGAAGAGAGCUCUGGUGCCUCUUGGCGAAGGUGGCCUGAGAUACCACCUGGCUGGAGUCUGUGGGCUGCUGCGGGAGGGGCCCGUGAAUGAUCACCAACCGGUGGGCUCCUUCUAAGUGCAUCAUUGCUGGUCUUGUACUAAAGGAAUUCGAGGGCCAGCACAGUCCACCUCUCCAGAUUUAAAUAGAUUGCACGGUCAGCCUGACUUGGGCUGACACACACUGCUUUGGCUGUGAAUCAAGUGAAAAGUAUAGAGCUUUUGAACCAGAAAGGUGCUCAUUUUAAGGAGACUCAUUCUGGAGUGAUGGGUCACAGCUAAUCAAGGCCUGCACCAUGGGUAGAAACCCAGGUCUGUGGCUCCCAGCCCUGGACUUUCUCCUCAAGUCAUGGAGCCACCGAGGGACUCUGUCUACUCUGACAAUGUCCACUUAGCUCUCACCAACAAUAUGAUUGUUUUGAAACUUGUGUUGAGGAAGGGGAAAUAUCGUAUUUCAUGUCAAGAGAUGCUCAUUUUCUUAAUCUUGUAUGUAAACAAAUUCGGCAUUCAAACCAGGAGCCACCUGAUAGGAGGGCAGUGCUAUAGAUAGAAGCCAUUUUAAGAAAAAAAAGAACUCCUUUACAGAGCAAGUUCACAGGCUGAUGCAUCAGAAGAGAAUUAGUGGCCAAGGGAAAAGGGGGCAAUGAGUAGCCCCCAGUUAUUCUACCAACAGUCCAGCAUUCAUGAUGUUAUAUUACACAUGGGAAAGUGAGACUCCGUUUGUGAGUGAGUGGGGUCUCUCUCUCUCUCUUUCUUUCUACUACAAAAAUCUUCCUCCAAGGAGGGACGUUGGAGAAAUUAAAACUGUAAGAAAGAGAUCAAUCAGAAAGCAGGAGCGUACAUCAACCUGGAGCAUGAGUCACCUUUCAAGUGGCUUUGCCCCUAUUGGGACAACACUUGCUUCCUUUUCAAAAGUUGGAAAGUGGUUGUAAGUUGACAUUUCCCAGUAUUUCUGUAGAAUCUCCUCAAGGACAGGGAAUGGGACAGUUCCAGUCCUGGUUCUCUCCAUGCUGAGAGCUCAGUACAAAGAGAUGUCAUUUGCUGGGGUCCAUGUAUUGAAGUGAUGAUGCAAUCUCACAAAACUAGUGUUAGAAUUAAAAAUCUAGACAAUCAUUAGAAAAGACUGAGUCCAUUUGCAGAUGGGAACUCUGAGCACCAGUGAGAGAAAGAGAGAUUAGCCUUUUGUCUGGACUGGCCACUGAGCAGUCACAUCUGUAAGUAUGAAAUCACACUCCACUCAGAUGAACUCAUUUACCAUGACAGGAUGGCAGGAAAGGCAUUCUACUGUGGGAUCAUUAUUAACCAAGAAAAACCCAUGGAUACCACUGAGAAACUCUGGGAUGAUUCGGGAAUCCCUUGAAGAAGCUGUACCCUCUCUCCUGAAGCUCACAACCUUGUCUGCCCCAUCCUGGAAGAUGUCAAUGAACCGCAUGGCUUACGAUGACUAUGGGACACCCUGGGUGGAGACAUAGGUCCCAUUCAUAUCUCACCAAGGAAGUGACUUGGUCAAAGUGGCUCAAGGAGAACUUGGUGCUAACAAUCCGCUAAGGCGGAUUCGUGGUUAGAACACUUAAUACAUAUGAUGAUCUUUGAGAAAGUUGUUUCAAUUCCUUGGAGUUUGAUUUUCUUAUCUAUAAAUUAAGAAAAAUAGAGCCUACCUCACAGGGUUGUUGUAAAGAUUAAAUGAAUGAAUGUAGGUAAAAUACUUAGAAUAGUACUUGGCAAAAAAUAAUUGGCCGUUAAGAUGUUGGCUGUUUUUGUUAGAGUACCUGUGAAUUCCUGCACACACGAAGACAUACACUUAUACACGCAAGCACAGAGCAUGGCUUUUGGCAUGAAUUUGGAUGUAGACACUCUCAUGGGAGUUAAUUCAUUGACUUCUAAAUAGAAGAAUUAAGCAUUUGAUAAGGUCUGUUCACCAUCAGGGGUAUGGCCUCCCCCAAAUCUGCUGAGCUUUUCACUGACCAAUCUUUUGCUCAGCAUUGCCAUGGCUGUGACAUAUAUAGUUUCCUGCCUGGGAAAGAGUUUACGUCACAGGGUUCUAUUCAGGGCACACUGGGUCCGAGCUCUGCUUCACUUUUUGUCUCCUCCCUGAAGUCUUCCCUGAUUAGUUCAACCAGAAGUACUGAUUUCCUAUAAUAUUUAUAAUCUGUGCUAUUAACUUUAUAUUUUGUAUUUAUUGUGUUAUAUUGUUUGUUUACUUUUAAGUCCUUUUACGUGCAUAUAUUUUCUUUUUCAGAUAAGACUAUAAAACCUUGGGGACGGGAUUACUCACUUUUGUUACUAUGUUAUUCACUUUUGUAUGCCCAAAAUGCAGAGCAAGGUGUCUUCACAUAGAAUAUGUUCAAUAAAGUCCUUUGAUUACACAACAAA